GUCAGAACCUCCUGCCGGGCUCACCUGGAAAUUGCCCACCACGGAGGUGCCCAGGGCACACAGGAGUCCCGUCCACAGGAUCAGCAGGACCCCAGCCGCUGGAACUUCAGGCUGUCGGCUUCCUCCAGAGCACAGAUGAGACAGACAGAACAUUCCUUGAGGCCAGAAGCCAUCAACCCAUGGAGAGUGCGCCCCUGGCCACAGUGGCUUUUCCGGCUGGAGGGCAGGCACACUGGGACCCGAAAAGGAGGAUACAGAGAGACAGAGCGCAAGCAGGAGAGAGGCAGAGAGAGGGGAGACACAGAAUGUGAAGCAGGCUCCAGGCUCUGAGCUGUCAGCACAGAGC